AUACGUAGGUGGCGAGCGUUGUCCGGAAUUACUGGGUGUAAAGGGCGUGUAGGCGGGGGUGCAAGUCAGAUGUGAAAACCCAAGGCUCAACUUUGGGAUUGCAUCUGAAACUGUAUCUCUUGAGUACUGGAGAGGGAAGCGGAAUUCCUAGUGUAGCGGUGAAAUGCGUAGAGAUUAGGAGGAACACCAGUGGCGAAGGCGGCUUCCUGGACAGAGACUGACGCUGAGGCGCGAAAGCGUGGGUAGCGAACAGGAUUAGAUACCCUGGUAGUCCACGCCGUAAACGAUGGAUACUAGGUGUAGGAGGUAUCGACUCCUUCUGUGCCGGAGUUAACACAAUAAGUAUCCCACCUGGGGAGUACGGCCGCAAGGUUGAA
rnacentral:rRNA from 1 species